UACAGAGGUGGCAAGCGUUGUUCGGAAUUACUGGGCGUAAAGGGCGCGUAGGCGGCCAUCUAAGUCAGACGUGAAAUCCCCCGGCUUAACCUGGGAACUGCGUCUGAUACUGGACGGCUUGAGUGCGGGAGAGGGAUGUGGAAUUCCAGGUGUAGCGGUGAAAUGCGUAGAUAUCUGGAGGAACACCGGUGGCGAAGGCGGCAUCCUGGACCGACACUGACGCUGAGGCGCGAAAGCUAGGGGAGCAAACGGG
rnacentral:rRNA from 1 species